GACGAACGCUGGCGGCGUACUUAACACAUGCAAGUCGAACGAGACGAUUGAAAGCUUGCUUUCGAAAGUCGAGUGGCAAACGGGUGAGUAACGCGUAGACAACCUGCCUUUGAGAUGGGGACAACAGUUCGAAAGGACUGCUAAUACCGAAUGUUGUAUAUUUUCCACAUGGAAGAUAUAUUAAAGAUGGCUUCUAUUUAUAAGCUAUCGCUCAAAGAUGGGUCUGCGUCUGAUUAGCUGGUUGGUGGGGUAGCGGCCUACCAAGGCGACGAUCAGUAGCCGGUCUGAGAGGAUGAACGGCCACAUUGGGACUGAGACACGGCCCAGACUCCUACGGGAGGCAGAAGUGGGGAAUCUUCCACAAUGGACGAAAGUCUGAUGGAGCAACGCCGCGUGAGUGAAGAAGGGUUUCGGCUCGUAAAGCUCUGUUGUCGGGGACGAAUGUGCAGUAUUUGAAUAAAGUACUGCAAUGACGGUACCUGACGAGGAAGCCACGGCUAACUACGUGCCAGCCGCCGCCGUAA
rnacentral:rRNA from 1 species